rnacentral:rRNA from 1 species
UACGUAGGCAGCAAGCGUUGUUCGGAAUUACUGGGCGUAAAGAGUGCGUAGGCGGUGCUCUAAGUCUGUCGUGAAAUCUCCCGGCUUAACUGGGAGGGUGCGGCGGAAACUGGAGUGCUUGAGGGUGGGAGAGGUAAGCGGAAUUCCUGGUGUAGCGGUGAAAUGCGUAGAUAUCAGGAGGAACACCGGUGGUGUAGACGGCUUUCUGGACCGUAACUGACGCUGAGACACGAAAGCGUGGGUAGCAAACAGG